rnacentral:rRNA from 1 species
CAAUAGCGUAUAUUUAAGUUGUUGCAGUUAAAAAGCUCGUAGUUGGAUUUCUGGUUGAAGCGACCGGUCGGGCGUUGAUUCGUCUGCACUGGAGUCGGUUUUGGCCAUCCUCUAGGAAAGUGCGUCUGGUAUUAAGUUAUCGGGCGUAUGAUCCUGGUCUUUUACUGUGAAAAAAUUAGAGUGUUUAAAGCAGGCCUUCGCCUUGAAUACAUUAGCAUGGAAUAAUAAGAUAGGACUUUGGUCUAUUUUGUUGGUUUGCAGACCGAAGUAAUGAUUAAUAGGGAUAGUUGGGGGUAUUUAUAUUCCGAUGUCAGAGGUGAAAUUCUUAGAUUUUCGGAAGAUAAACUUAUGCGAAAGCAUUUACCAAGGAUGUUUNCAUUA